rnacentral:lncRNA from 1 species
CUAAGACAUUUUUCCUUUUCAUAUUUGAACUUUUCUGAAAUCAAGGUAUAUCUUCAAGUGAUGCCCCUUCAUAAAUACUUAGCAGUACUUUCUCAAGUCUGUAUGAAAGCACUGUGGGUCCUACACGUCAAAGACAAGCUUUCUAGUCCGCAAACUGCAGUGGCUCUCAUUGGCCCAAGCACAUCACGUGUCUCUCACCCGCCAAUCACUGCAACUCUGGUUGGGAAGCCUUAGGCUCAUCUCUGGUGUUAACUGGUUGGAGUCAGCAUCACCUAAGCAAAAGGAGCGACAGAGGAACGGCAGUUUCUGAGAGGAAAAUCAAAGUGUCACUGCCCCCCGGAGAGAUGGCUGUGGAUUCCCGGCAGGCAGAAACAACUGCUGCCUCCUCUGCUCAGAGUCAUUCCGGAAUUCGGUCAAGUUGGCCAUGUCAGAGAAAGCCUCAGAAGGUGGUCAUUUUGCCAUUGACUUUAACAGCUAGACUGACACUCAUUCCCCGCGGUAGCUGGUGUGUGCUGAACCUGUCACCGCCUCUUCAAAACAUUGCUGGUUUCCAUGGAAACAAAAAAGCACUUACUGAAAGAGCUGCUGGAAAUUUCGAGUCAAGAUGUCCAAAACUGUCCCUGUGAUAUAUUUUUCUAAGACCUGAUUUGAAAGAGAAACAAUAGCGCAACUUGGCAAAGAAGACAAAGGAAGAUAAAUGAUAAUUAAAAACGGCUUGGCACCAUGUCUAGAUCCCAACAUCCGGUCGCGAUGCUGUCCUUUUCAAAAUCAGGUCCAGGGAGAUAUUGGGUGAAGAAGCACCACUGACCCACAGGCCCCUGACUUCAGACAUGGCUUUGUUAUGGACACGAGCCUAUCUGCUGUUCACAGGGUUUAAAUCUUGACAGGCUUAUGCAGCAACAUGACUCUGAAUACACUUGCUAAAUGAACCUCUUGCAUGCCAAUCUACCUCCUACUCUCUGAGCUAAAAAAGAGCUCUGCAACUCGGAUGAUUAUAUACCUAUUUUUUCAAUCCACUCUGUAAGGCGGGAACGUGAAAUGAAAGAUAAUAGCUUCCUUUAACCGUUGUUAGAUUGGCAUACCAGAAGGUGAGAUUUUCUUUUAAACUCCUCAUGAAGAUAUUUAAUUAAAUUUUUUUUGUUGGCCACCCUGUGGCUUAUGGAGUUCCCCGACCAGGGAUCGAA